GCCGCCACGCCUCUCAACAAAACCAGGACCAGAUCCGAGCAGAUCGCAUGGGCAAGCGGCGAAAGAGGAGCAACCUCGCCGUCGUCGAGGAGCAACCGUCCCAAGAACGCGGCCACGAAGAGGAAUGGCGAGAUUGGCUCAACCUGCCGACGGCGCUCGUCGACGACAUCGCCGACCGGCUGCUCAGCCACGACCUGGCCGAGUACAUCCGCCUCCGCGCCGCGUGCAACGAGUGGAGGAGAUGCACCGCCGACCCGCGCGCAGGGGCGGAGCUAGGCUAAUGCAAGAGAAGAGAAACAAAGAAAAGAACGAUUCCAGUGCCACUUGGCGAAGAUUGGGCUACUACGUUGCUAGUUAGUGCUACUGGGCCUUAUCAUUGAGGCAAUGAUGCGGCUGGCCGAUUGACAAAGCCGAGGAGACAACACGACCUGGAACGUGUCGCCUCGAUCGUUCGAUUCAACCGCCGCUGCGCUGCGCUGCGCCUCCUCCGCCGCCUGUGACGCACAUCGUUGCGCCGCAUGCCCGUAUCUGCCAUUGGCAUAGUCGCCGAUCUGCCAUCUUGGAUCUUGCAGAUCGAUCUCCUCGCGCCUGUUCGCUGCUUCGCCUCCAAUUGAGAAACGGCGGCCGCCGCGGCACCACCGGUGCACACAUAUCAGGCACCGAUUCCUGUGAUUGUUUUUUUUUUUGAGUUAGCGAGUGUUCAAUCUUGAUUUCUCCUAUUUGUUAGAUAAGAUGAGAUGAUUGUUUUCACUCCCUAAUUUUGUUUCCAUUGACCUA